GACGAACGCUGGCGGCGUGCUUAACACAUGCAAGUCGAACGGAAAGGCCCUGCUUUUGUGGGGUGCUCGAGUGGCGAACGGGUGAGUAACACGUGAGUAACCUGCCCUUGACUUUGGGAUAACUUCAGGAAACUGGGGCUAAUACCGGAUAGGAGCUCCUGCUGCAUGGUGGGGGUUGGAAAGUUUCGGCGGUUGGGGAUGGACUCGCGGCUUAUCAGCUUGUUGGUGGGGUAGUGGCUUACCAAGGCUUUGACGGGUAGCCGGCCUGAGAGGGUUACCGGCCACAUGGAGACUGAGAUACGGCCCAGACUCCUACGGGAGGCAGCAGUGGGGAAUAUUGCACAAUGGGCGGAAGCCUGAUGCAGCAACGCCGCGUGCGGGAUGACGGCCUUCGGGUUGGAAACCGCUUUCGCCUGUGACGAAGCGUGAGGGACGGUAAUGGGUAAAGAAGCACCGGCGAACUACGU
rnacentral:rRNA from 1 species